AUGAGGUCCGCCGCGUGGCACGCCCUGCUCCCGUCACUAGUGCCUGCCAAGCCCGGCAUCUUCUUCCUCCGCAGCCGGCCCGGGCGGUUCUUGUCACACGCUCACGGCUUGCGGCCGUGUGGCGCUGCGAGCUCUCUGCCCCCCGGGGAGUACCUUCCUCCCUUGUUCAGCGUGGCGCCGAUGAUGGACUGGACAGACAACCACUACAGGACGCUCGCGCGGCUGAUAUCGAGGCACGCCUGGUUAUACACAGAGAUGUUGGUCGCUGAGACCAUUGUGCAUCAGAAAGAUAAGUUGGAUAGAUUUUUAGCAUUUCCUGCUGAACAGCAUCCUAUUGUGUUACAAAUUGGUGGAAGUAAUCUUGACAAUUUGGCAAAGGCAACUGAAUUAGCAAGUGGAUAUGCAUAUGAUGAGAUCAACCUGAAUUGUGGUUGCCCCAGCGGCAAAGUUGCUGGCCACGGUUGCUUCGGUGCUCGCUUAAUGUAUGAUCCAGAGUUUGUAGGGGAUGCUAUGUCAGCUAUUGCUGCCAAUUGUGAUGUCCCUGUCAGUGUUAAAUGCAGAAUUGGAGUUGACGAUCGUGACUCCUACGAAGAACUUUGUACAUUUGUAGAUAAAGUUGUUUCUAAGUCACCAACCAGGCAUUUUAUUAUCCAUGCUCGGAAGGCGUUGCUCAGUGGCCUCAGUCCUGCGGAGAAUCGGAAGGUUCCUCCUUUAAAAUAUGAGUACUAUUAUGCUUUGUUGCGGGACUUCCCAGAGGUACACUUUACACUAAAUGGAGGCUUAAUGACUAUUGAACAAGUUAGUGCAUCCAUAAGACAAGGCGCCCAUCAAGUUAUGGUUGGUCGUGCUGCUUACAAUAAUCCAUGGAAUAUGCUGGGGCACGUAGAUAGUGAAAUUUAUGGCAUGCCAACACCUUGCUCUUCGCGUCGCCAGAUCCUUGAGAGCUACCAAGUUUAUGGUGAUUCUAUAAUUGGACAGUAUGGCAUCAGCAGGCCAAACGUGAGGCAACUUGUUAAGCCAUUGUUACAUUUGUUCCACUCAGAGCCUGGUAAUAGUUUGUGGAAACGUAAGGCUGAUUCUACGUUGCGCCACUGCAAGACACUUGUGCAGUUCUUGGAGGAAACUCUUGACGCCAUUCCUGACUCUGUCCUUGACGCACCAGUAUUGAUGGAGCCAUCCAGGGAGCAAGACUACUUCGCCCAUGUGGAUUCCUUAUUGCCGCCAAGAUACACAAAACUGGCCAAUGGCAGCUAUGAAAGCCCAGCACUUGUAACUGCAUCCAGUUGA
rnacentral:rRNA from 1 species